AUUGAACGCUGGCGGCAUGCUUUACACAUGCAAGUCGAACGGUAACAGGCCGCAAGGUGCUGACGAGUGGCGAACGGGUGAGUAAUGCAUCGGAACGUGCCCAGUCGUGGGGGAUAACUACUCGAAAGAGUAGCUAAUACCGCAUACGAUCUAUGGAUGAAAGCGGGGGACCGUAAGGCCUCGCGCGAUUGGAGCGGCCGAUGUCAGAUUCGGUAGUUGGUGGGGGAAAGGCUCACCAAGCCAACGAUCUGUAGCUGGUCUGAGAGGACGACCAGCCACACUGGGACUGAGACACGGCCCAGACUCCUACGGGAGGCAGCAGUGGGGAAUUUUGGACAAUGGGCGCAAGCCUGAUCCAGCAAUGCCGCGUGCAGGAAGAAGGCCUUCGGGUUGUAAACUGCUUUUGUACGGAACGAAACGGCUCUGGUUAAUACCCGGGGCUAAUGACGGUACCGUAAGAAUAAGCACCGGCUAACUACGUG
rnacentral:rRNA from 1 species